rnacentral:piRNA from 1 species
UGGGUGUCUGAGCCAUCUUUGCUCUUAAGC